GACAGAGGGUGCAAACGUUGCUCGGAAUCACUGGGCGUAAAGGGCGUGUAGGCGGGCAGAUAAGUCGGGCGUGAAAUCCCCAGGCUCAACCUGGGAACUGCACUCGAAACUGUUUGUCUUGAGUAUCGGAGAGGAAAGCGGAAUACCUGGUGUAGAGGUGAAAUUCGUAGAUAUCAGGUGGAACACCAGUGGCGAAGGCGGCUUUCUGGACGAUAACUGACGCUGAGACGCGAAAGCGUGGGGAGCAAACAGA
rnacentral:rRNA from 1 species